GUUGUAAACCUCUUUCAGCAGGGACGAAGCGUAAGUGACGGUACCUGCAGAAGAAGCACCGGCCAACUACGUGCCAGCAGCCGCGGUAAGACGUAGGGUGCGAGCGUUGUCCGGAUUUAUUGGGCGUAAAGAGCUCGUAGGCGGCUUGUCGCGUCGACCGUGAAAACUUGGGGCUCAACCCCAAGCCUGCGGUCGAUACGGGCAGGCUAGAGUUCGGUAGGGGAGACUGGAAUUCCUGGUGUAGCGGUGAAAUGCGCAGAUAUCAGGAGGAACACCGGUGGCGAAGGCGGGUCUCUGGGCCGAUACUGACGCUUAGGAGCGAAAGCGUGGGGAGCGAACAGGAUUAGAUACCCUGGUAGUCCACGCUGUAAACGUUGGGCGCUAGGUGUGGGGGGCCUCUCCGGUUCUCUGUGCCGCAGCUAACGCAUUAAGCGCCCCGCCUGGGGAGUACGGCCGCAAGGCUAAAACUCAAAGGAAUUGACGGGGGCCCGCACAAGCGGCGGAGCAUGCGGAUUAAUUCGAUGCAACGCGAAGAACCUUACCUGGGUUUGACAUGGCCGCAAAACUUGCAGAGAUGUAAGGUCCUUCGG
rnacentral:rRNA from 1 species